rnacentral:rRNA from 1 species
AUGGCGAAUCAGGAGGUUGUCGCGCUAGGCCAUCUUCCUCGCCAUCAACGCCCUGCUGCUCUCUCCCGUCCCUCCACCCUCCUCUUUUUCCUCCUGCCGCUAGGCACUAGAGGACCCGCCACGCCGACACCGCUGCUCCACCGCGAGGCUGCGACUAGUCUUUCCUCGUCUUCGUAUCCACAGGCGCCCCGCUGCUCUCUCCCGUCCCUGCAGGCUCCCCGCGUCAGAGCUUUGUCCUCGGCCGCGCACGCCGCCUCACCCUUGCUUGGCCCCGUCGCCGACUUCAGGCCCACCCUCUCGCCCUCCGGGGACUGGACCACCGCGGCAAGGACGACUAGGCCGGCAAGGUGGAGCACCAUGGAACCGAUGGUGAUGCCUUUCGGGCACCGGGCGCACGCUGCUCGUCCGCGACGGCGGCUGGCCGUGCCUGGCAGACGAGACCAUGGCUGCCAUGGCCGGCCCUCUAGGAUCGCGUUGCCGCUGAUGGCGGCGAGGCGACUCGAGGCUGCGGGGCUCCUCGCAUGCGGGAGGCGGGAGCGGUCACUCCGGGGCUGUGGCGCGUGCGCCACGGCUGUUGCUGCGGGCAUGGAGCGCGAACGGACGCAUGUGGCUGGGUGUGUGCGUGCGGGAUGA